rnacentral:lncRNA from 1 species
UUUUGAGAUGCAGACAAAGGAAUUGAACUCCCAGAGGGAGAACAGCCAGAUAUAUUGCAGGCUGACCCUCCAGCCCCAGGAGGAGCCUGGGUUGUGUCACCAGUCCAGCCUGAGAAGGCUCACUCGAGAUUUGGGCAGCGUGAGAAAAAGACACAGAGCUGUGGGAAUGUCUGGAAGGCCUUUACUAUCUCAACAGCCUGGGGCAAUGAGGGAUAAAAUCCCACUCCCUCCUACACGGUAUCACACAAAGCAGUGGGCAUUCCAUAAAAUGCACCUAUGGAGAAGAGUAUUAGGAGAAAUAGACAAAGGCUCAAUGGAGAUGGCAAUUGCAACAGCGUGAGCCUUGUGGAAAAGCAACCUUGGCAUCCUGAGAACCGGGGACGGCCUUCACUGUUCCAGCCCCUCGCCUCACCUCUCUCCAAUCUGCGCUGGUCCCCUGAACUUUGUUUACUGUCAGAACAGGCGGCGCAUCUGACACAGGCUGUCCAUGGAAGGUGAGACCUUGCUGAGCCAACCCCCGGUCAUGGCGCAAGCGCAGGGUCUCCUAGCCUCCCCGUUCCAGCCCACCUGCAGCUGCUGGAGACGCACAGGCGAGGGUCAGCUGUUGCUUCCCACCAGAACAAGCAGGGGUCAGAGCUAGCCGUGGCCCGGAUGCCCACACAUCUACAUGGAACAGGGCCCAGUGGGUCCCUGAGAGCAGCAGCCGGAAGCAGACAACCCUGGGGUCAUGCCCCGCCCCAGCACUUGCUAGCUGUGUGGUGCUGACCUGUCUCCGCUGUGGAAGGCCCAGUCUCUCCCACAGUGAAAUUUCUCAUCGUAGGCUUGGUGCAGGGAUUAAAUGUGCAAAUCAAGACGAAUACGUGGUACGGUGCCUGGCAUAUAGUGAGUGCUCAAUAAACGAUAGGUUUGAACUAAUAAUUUUAAUGAUAAUAUAGACUGCAUUCUGGUGGCCAAACUGACACUGUUUAGGGACACUGCUGCCUGUGGUCACUCUUGUUUGUUUCCCGUCUCUGUCUCUUACCUGCUCCCAUUGGGCAGAGCUGAAACCCACACAUAAACACGGCUAUCCAGCUGGGACUUCCGAAUCAUGCUCCUUGCAGCCCACUGGACAAUGCUGGAGCCUUCCUCCCAAGCACUGCCUUUUAUCUCACUGAGAAUGCCCUG